rnacentral:rRNA from 1 species
UGAGCGCUGGCGGCAGGCCUAACACAUGCACGUCGAGCGGAUGAAGGGAGCUUGCUCCUGGAUUCAGCGGCGGACGGGUGAGUAAUGCCUAGGAAUCUGCCUGGUAGUGGGGGAUAACGUCCGGAAACGGGCGCUAAUACCGCAUACGUCCUGAGGGAGAAAGUGGGGGAUCUUCGGACCUCACGCUAUCAGAUGAGCCUAGGUCGGAUUAGCUAGUUGGUGGGGUAAAGGCCUACCAAGGCGACGAUCCGUAACUGGUCUGAGAGGAUGAUCAGUCACACUGGAACUGAGACACGGUCCAGACUCCUACGGGAGGCAGCAGUGGGGAAUAUUGGACAAUGGGCGAAAGCCUGAUCCAGCCAUGCCGCGUGUGUGAAGAAGGUCUUCGGAUUGUAAAGCACUUUAAGUUGGGAGGAAGGGCAGUAAGUUAAUACCUUGCUGUUUUGACGUUACCAACAGAAUAAGCACCGGCUAACUUCGUG